rfam:Larimichthys crocea isolate SSNF unplaced genomic scaffold scaffold482, whole genome shotgun sequence.
UGUUCCCUUCUCUGUAAGUCGCUUUGGAUAAAAGCGUCUGCUAAAUGACUAACU